AGAGUUUGAUCAUGGCUCAGAACGAACGUUGGCGGCGUGGAUUAGGCAUGCAAGUCGAACGAGAACCAGCCCUGUAGCAAUACAGGGCUGGGGAUAGUGGCGAAAGGGGCAGUAAUGCGUGGGUAACGUACCCCGGGGAUGGGAACACAGAGGUAACACUCGUAAAUCCCCAGCGAUUCGGCGGAGGGGCAUCUCUCUGCCGGGAAAUGAGUUUCGCCUCGGGAGCGGCUCACGUCGUAUUAGCUUGUUGGCGAGGUAACGGCUCACCAAGGCUAAGAUGCGUAGCGGGUGUGAGAGCACGACCCGCGCCACUGGCACUGAGACACUGGCCAGACACCUACGGGUGGCUGCAGUCGAGGAUCUUCGGCAAUGGGCGCAAGCCUGACCGAGCGACGCCGCGUGUGCGAAGAAGGCCUUCGGGUUGUAAAGCACUGUCGAGGGGGAGGAAAGCCGCAAGGUCUGACCUAUCCCUGGAGGAAGCACGGGCUAAGUUCGUGCCAGCAGCCGCGGUAAGACGAACCGUGCGAACGUUGUUCGGAUUCACUGGGCUUAAAGGGCGCGUAGGCGGGCAAGCAAGUCCGGGGUGAAAUCUUUCGGCUUAACCGGAAAAGUGCCUUGGAUACUGCUUGUCUAGAGGGAGAUAGGGGUUGCGGGAACUUCCGGUGGAGCGGUGAAAUGCGUUGAUAUCGGAAGGAACGCCGGUGGCGAAAGCGCGCAACUGGACCUCUUCUGACGCUGAGGCGCGAAAGCUAGGGGAGCAAACGGGAUUAGAUACCCCAGUAGUCC
rnacentral:rRNA from 1 species